UACGUAGGGUGCGAGCGUUAAUCGGAAUUACUGGGCGUAAAGCGUGCGCAGGCGGUUCGUUAAGUCAGCUGUGAAAGCCCCGGGCUCAACCUGGGAAUGGCGGUUGAAACUGGCGAACUAGAAUCUGGCAGAGGGGGGUGGAAUUCCACGUGUAGCAGUGAAAUGCGCAGAUAUCAGGAGGAACACCAAUGGCGAAGGCAGCUCACUGGGACGGUAUUGACGCUGAGACGCGAAAGCGUGGGGAGCAAACAGG
rnacentral:rRNA from 1 species